rnacentral:rRNA from 1 species
ACUCCUACGGGAGGCAGCAGUGGGGAAUAUUGCACAAUGGGCGCAAGCCUGAUGCAGCCAUGCCGCGUGUGUGAAGAAGGCCUUCGGGUUGUAAAGCACUUUCAGUCGUGAGGAAGGUAGUGUAGUUAAUAGCUGCAGUAUUUGACGUUAGCGACAGAAGAAGCACCGGCUAACUCCGUGCCAGCAGCCGCGGUAAUACGGAGGGUGCGAGCGUUAAUCGGAAUUACUGGGCGUAAAGCGCAUGCAGGUGGUUGUUAAGUCAGAUGUGAAAGCCCGGGCGUCAACCUCGGAAUAGCAUUUGAAACUGGCAGACUAGAGUACUGUAGAGGGGGUAGGAAUUUCAGGUGUAGCGGUGAAAUGCGUAGAGAUCUGAAGGAAUACCGGUGGCGAAGGCGGCCCCUGGACAGAUACUGACACUCAGAUGCGAAAGCGUGGGAGCAAACAGGAUUAGAUACCCCUGGUAGACUGUCA